GACGAACGCUGGCGGCGUGCUUAACACAUGCAAGUCGAACGGAAAGGCCUGCUUUCCCUUGUGGAUUGCGGGUACUCGAGUGGCGAACGGGUGAGUAACACGUGAGUGAUCUGCCCCCAACUUGGGUAUAAGCCUGGGAAACUGGGUCUAAUUCCCGAUAGGACUGCAGGGUGGUGCCUGUGGUGGAAAACGAUUUUCUAGUGGUUGGGGAUGAGCUCGCGGCCUAUCAGCUUGUUGGUGGGGUAAUGGCCUACCAAGGCGGCGACGGGUAGCCGGCCUGGGAGGGUGGACGGCCACAUUGGGACUGAGAUACGGCCCAGACUCCUACGGGAGGCAGCAGUGGGGAAUAUUGCACAAUGGGCGGAAGCCUGAUGCAGCGACGCCGCGUGGGGGAUGACGGCCUUCGGGUUGUAAACUCCUUUCGACCGCGAGGAAGCCACAUGGUUGGAAGGGUGGUGACGGUAGUGGUAGAAGAAGCACCGGCUAACUACGUG
rnacentral:rRNA from 1 species